rnacentral:rRNA from 1 species
UACGUAGGGUGCGAGCGUUGUCCGGAAUUAUUGGGCGUAAGGAGCUCGUAGGCGGUUUGUUGCGUCGGCCGUGAAAACCUGCAGCUUAACUGUGGGCCUGCGGUCGAUACGGGCAGACUUGAGUUCGGUAGGGGAGACUGGAAUUCCUGGUGUAGCGGUGAAAUGCGCAGAUAUCAGGAGGAACACCGGUGGCGAAGGCGGGUCUCUGGGCCGAUACUGACGCUGAGGAGCGAAAGCGUGGGGAGCGAACAGG